rnacentral:rRNA from 1 species
AGCGGCCUACGGGACGCAGCAGUGGGGAAUAUUGCACAAUGGGGGAAACCCUGAUGCAGCAACGCCGCGUGAGUGAAGAAGUAUUUCGGUAUGUAAAGCUCUAUCAGCAGGGAAGAAAAUGACGGUACCUGAGUAAGAAGCCCCGGCUAACUACGUGCCAGCAGCCGCGGUAAUACGUAGGGGGCAAGCGUUAUCCGGAUUUACUGGGUGUAAAGGGAGCGUAGACGGCCAGACAAGUCUGAAGUGAAAAUCCAGCGCUUAACGUUGGAAGUGCUUUGGAAACUGCCGGGCUAGAGUGCAGGAGG